rnacentral:lncRNA from 1 species
UGAAAAUAGGUGAGACAAUGGGAUAUAAAAAGGGAGAAAUCAUGUAAGUGCAAGAGGCAGAAGAAGAGAAACAAUCUAUCUUCUUCCAAAUAAAAAAUAAAGGAAGGAGAUAGGAAAGGGUUGAAAAGGAUAAAAAAAAAAUUACAUUAGAUACAUUGUUGGCUGAAGGAAAAAAAUUCAAAAAAAUGGCUCGUGGAGCGAUUAUUGCAUCCAUGCUCUGCCUUCUGGCUGUAGCAGUGGUGGCUGAAGACCCUUAUAUCUAUUACACAUGGAAUGUGACCUACGGUACCAUUUCACCUCUUGGAAUCCCCCAACAGGGUAUCCUCAUCAAUGGUUUGUUCCCAGGACCUGAAAUCAACUCCACCAGCAACAACAACAUUGUCAUCAACGUGUUCAACAACCUUGACGAGCCAUUGUUGUUCACAUGGAGCGGUAUCCAGCAGAGGAAAAACUCAUGGCAAGAUGGUACAUUGGGAACUCAGUGCCCCAUCCAGCCAGGAACCAACUACACAUACAAGUUCCAGGUCAAGGACCAGAUCGGUAGCUACUUCUACUACCCCUACACCGGCCUCCAGAGAGCCGCCGGUGGAAUCGGUGGUUUGAGAAUCUACUCCAGGUUGUUGAUCCCUGUCCCAUAUGCUGACCCUGCUGAUGAAUACUGGGUCCUCAUGGGUGACUGGUACGCCAAGCCCCACACCACCCUCCAGAAGUUUUUGGACAGUGGUCGUAGCCUUGGAAGGCCAGAUGGCGUCCACAUCAUGGGUAAAAAUGGUAGCCCAGUCCCACUCUACACCAUGGAGCCUGGAAAGACCUACAAGUACAGGCUCUGCAAUGUGGGUAUGAAGGACUCCCUUAACUUCAGAAUCCAAGGCCACCCAUUGAAGCUUGUUGAGAUGGAAGGCUCCCAUGUGGUGCAAAACGUCUACGACUCCCUCGACAUCCAUGUUGGUCAGUGCUACUCUGUCCUCGUGACUGCCGACCAGGAACCAAAACAAUACAAGAUGGUCGCCUCCACACGCUUCACCAAGAAGGUGUUGUCCGCCACCGCUCUCAUCACCUACUCUAACGGUAACGGUCCCGCCUCCCCUGAGCUCCCACCUGCACCUGAAGGCUGGGCCUGGUCCCUCAACCAGUUCCGUUCCUUCCGUUGGAACUUAACCGCUAGUGCUGCCAGGCCUAACCCUCAAGGCUCUUACCACUACGGCCAGAUCAACAUCACCCGAACCAUCAAGCUCGUGAACACCGUCUCUAGGGCUAACGGAAAACUCCGAUACGGAAUCAACGGUGUGUCCCACGUUGACAACGAAACCCCACUCAAGCUCGCCGAGUACUUCGGUGUUGCUGACAAGGUUUUCAAGUACAACAUCAUCUCCGAUGAGCCCCCGGCAACCAUCGGUGACCUCACCUUGGCUCCCAAUGUCAUUAACGCCACUUUCCGUACCUUCAUCGAGAUCAUCUUCGAGAACCCCACAAAGGUUGUUCAGUCAUACAACUUGGAUGGUUACUCCUUCUUCCUUGCCGCAGUUGAGCCAGGGAAAUGGACACCCGAGAAGAGGAAGAACUACAACCUUUUAGAUACAGUGAGCAGGCACACCGUUCAGAUAUACCCCAAGUCAUGGGCAGCAAUCAUGCUUACAUUCGACAACGCUGGCAUGUGGAACUUGAGGUCAGAGCACACCGAGAACCGCUACCUUGGUCAACAAUUGUACAUCAGUGUCUUGUCUCCUGAACGCUCUCUCAGGGAUGAGUACAACAUUCCAGAAACCCAGCUCCUUUGCGGCAUCGUCAAGGAUAUGCCCAAGCCCGCACCCUACUCUUAAGCAUUUAUCAACCUGCAUUAAGACGAUGUAUUAGCUUUAUUUUGUAGCUGAUGUAUCCACCGACCCUUUCCUGAAUGCCACAAAUUUUCAGCUCCAUAUGUAUACACAUAUAUAAUAUGAAUGUCAAAUUCUCCUUCCAAUCCACUUCUAUGUGGGUUUUGUCAUGGAAUAUGUACACACAUCAGUUCUUUCAUUAAUUUCAAGUGACGGAAAUUAAACUUUACUCAAGCUAGAGCUACUACGACCUGAGCUCACACCAUAAGCAGAAGGAUAUAUAAUUGAACUAACCAAAAGAACUAAAUAUUAAGAAGAAAUUAUUAGUCUGUUUGUGCUGGUUUGGGUGGGUUGUGCCCAGAGGCGGACCCAGAAAUUUUGUGACACCUGGGCAAAAUUUUCACAUCGUCUUGAAUAUUUGGAGGAUACUCAUUAAUUUGUUUCCUACGCCCUGGAUCACGCACAAUCUCAUUCGGAUGAAACUCAUUGACCACAUUAGGCGAUGGUUCUACUUCGGCUUCCGGUUGUACAACAUUCACAUUCUCAAUACUUGCUCUAGGAACCAAGAACUUCCUCAUCUCUAAAAUUUAAUGAUCUAAAGAAACAACAAAGAAAAGCACAAUUAGAAAUUAUGAUCAAAUUAAAAAAGCACUAAAAACAACACUAAUAAAUAAAAAUGAAAAGGAGACAAUCUAUAUUCACAUGAUUAGUAUAUUGGAUGUACAAAAAAUGGAAGAGAAGAGAUCAUGGACCACAAGCAAUUACCAAAUUUUGGACCACAAGCAAUUACUAAAUUGAAUUGAAUACAUUACACAUUAUACAAUAUACAUGGCAAAUGGCAAUUGUUGGCAAGUGGCAAACCGCAUCUCAUGACUCAUGUAAUCUGUCUCUCACACUUUUCUAACUUAUCCUUCACACACUCACAUAGUCACACAUGACACAUACAAUUAAUAUUUGAUUCAAGAAUACCAAACCCAACUCACUCACGCAUCUCUCACUCUCUGUCUCACUUUUCCCUUUUUUUUUUACCUUUUCUGCCUUAACCUUUCUCUCAGUCUCUCACUCAGUCUCUCUCACCGCUCACCUCCUCUCCUCUGUUCCUCUCGACAACGCCCACGCCACGCCUCACCCACACGACACGCAGGCCGCAACCGCGCCCUCACCCACACCGGCACACGCAGGCCGCAGCCACGCCCACGCCCUCACCACCCACCGCCUCAGGCGGCCCUCACCCACGCCCUCACACCACAGCCCACAGGUCUCACUCACGGCACACCCCCUCACAGAGUCACAAUAGGAUAUUGAGAUUUACAGAGCAAAUAAGUUUGAAGCUAGGAUGGAGAAAUCAGAGAGAAAGAGACCUGAUUCCUGAAGAUUGAAGCUUGAAGAGUAAGAGUACUCAGAGAGAAAUGAAGAUUGCUGAAGAUUGAAGGGAAGCCUGAAGAUUGAAGCCUGAAGAUUGAAGUCAAUUGAAGUCUGAGAAGGAAAUUGAAGCGUGAUUUGAAGCCUGAAGGGAGAAAGUGAGUAGGAAAUUGAGAAUAGGGUUUCUAUUUUAUUAUUUUCCCCUUUCUUUUCCCCUUUAUAAAAUAGUCCUCAAUUUUACCCCAACCUUUAAAUUUUGCCCUUUUUUAUUUUUUUUUUGAGGCCCAAAAGAUGAUGUGGUCCAAAGAAAAAAAUUUUUUUUUGGUCAGAGCUUGGGCAUUUGCCCUAGGUAGCCAGGCGCUCAAUCCGCCUCUGGUUGUGCCUAUAUACUAGCUAAUAUCGGCAUUUGUUUCGUUUUUUAUUUGUAUUUUCCCUUUGCUAAAUUUUGUACUUUGUUCGUGGGUUUGAAGUACCCUUUUACUUCCUUUAAUAAAAUGUUUCUAUAAAAAAAAAAAAGAAUAAUAGAGCGAUCAAAUGGAAAUGUAUAUGCUUAAUACGGAUUCAAAAUUCUAAACAUUCGUUCGUGGUGUAUAAAAUGCACUGUUUAUAAGUUAUUUUACAAUGAUGAGCCAUUAAAUUGUUUUCUAAUUUUUUCCCGAGUAAUGAUAUAUACACACCUCCUUAUUUAUACACUUCAUUUCCACCUAUUUUUAUUUCUAUCUCUCUCCUCUUAUCAUCUAUCAUAUCUUAUACUUUCUCUUUCUUACUUUUUAUUUUCUUCCUAUCUCUCUCCUCCUCCACCUCUUUCCACCUCAAUUUAGAGGUGUGGACAAAUAAUUAUUGAUUUUUUCCCUAUUGUGUUGUUUGGAUAUAUACAAUUGCAUACGUGUCAUGUGUACUUGUCAUUUUAUAGAUUUAAAUAUGUUUUUAUCAUGACUUAUAUACACUUAUAAUAUAAUACUAGUGUUUUUUUCCCGUGCGUUGCACGGAAAAUAUAUCUAUUGUUUUUUAUACAUCAAUUAAUCAUGAAUGUGAUUAUGCGAGUUCAUUUUCAGUUUUUUUUAAUUCUAAGUUAUUUAUGUUUUAAUUUUUUUAAAGUUGUUCUCAAUAUGUGUUCAGGGAACACGUGUCUACAAUAUCUUAGAUAAUUAGGGACAACCCUUUAAAAUUUAAUGGAUUAUAAUCUCAGCACUACAUAUUUUAUUUUCAAUCAUAUUGUAGAUCAUGAGAAAGAAUAAAAGGAGAAAUCAAAGGAUUCCUGUAAAUAUGCAGUAAAUUAGACUUGAGACUUUUCCAAAUUUAAAGAGAUAAUGAAAAUGGUUUCAAGAUUUGUUUUGGAAAUAAAUUUAGUAAGGAGUAAUCUAGGUUAUUCUUAGAUAAUUAGGGCAAAUCUUUAAAAAUUCGGUUUUAAGAUAAAAUAACACAACAGAAGAGAAACUAUCUAAUGGAAUGACACGUGAAUAUUUUUUUUAUGGGAAUUAACCUGAGAAUGACAAGUGAAUUUUUUUUUAUGAGAAUUAACAUGAGAAUGACAUGUCACUAAAUCAGCCUGAUAUAAGUUAUUCUUUUCUAUUGUAUAUAUAUUGGUUGAUGGUAUUCGAAAGAAAAAUCCUCUUUUUUCCCCUAAAUAAUUUUGUUUUAUUUAAAAUGGUUCCUCUAAUGUCAUAAUGCGAACAAAGGUUAUAGGAAAUUAAAGUUUGUGUGGGGAUAGACUGUAAGGAGCUUGUUUCUCUUGCGAUUGAUACUAACAGAGACAGAAUCCGAGUCCAUCCUCAAGCCUCCAUUAUCCGUGAUAUUAAGAUUCUCCUGGAUUUGGAUUGGCGGGUUGAGCUUUCCUGGAUUCCCAAUGAAGCCAAUGUUGCGGCUGAUUGCUUGACCUAACAGGGCGCUCAUUCAUCCCUUCCUGGGUUGCAUAUGGUGACUAAUGUUGCUCCUGAGUUAGACUGGUUGAUCCUUAAGGAUGCCUUAGUUGUUCCUUAGUUUGUUGUUGCUCUGUUGUCAUUUUUCCGAAGCACCAAAAAAAUAAUAAUGCUUAUUUGUCAUUUUUUAGUUGGGAUAAAUAUGUAUUUGGUUCUUAAACUAUAGCGAAUUAUUAUUAUUAGUCCCUGAAUUAAUUUUUCAUUGAAAUCCAUCCCUUAACUUGUUGGCGUGUGAGGUUUUGGUCCCUCGAGUCAUUUGAAUGAUUACGUAGCAUAGUGACGUGUAUGUAUUUUAUGAUGUGUUAUUUUUAGUCUAAAAUUUCAGUUCAAAUAUUUUGUGUGCUUUCUCCUUUGUGACAAUUUUAAGCACUUAAAAAUCAAGUCUUUAACCAUAAAAUUUUCCAUCUAUUUUCUCAACUUCUCUCCAAAUUUUCUUUUUAAGACUUUAUCACUAAUUGCAUAUUCAAUUAAACAUCAUUUUUAAGACAAGUUUUAGAAUAAAAAUAUUCUCCUUUUCCAUGCAUAGUCUCGCUCAUACAUUCCUAACUAUCAUGAUUGAUUAUCUUUAAAAUCAACUAACAGAAGGUAAAUCUAUGAUGAAAAAUAAUUCAAAGUUUAAAAACAAGACUUUAAUCAUUAAGAAAUUUCACAAGACUUAAACUUUAAGGAAUCAAAUUAGAGGUCUAGUAUGCUUUUGCAAAAUCGAAUAAGAAACCUCACUCUAUAUUGGAAUAGGCUUUUGCAAAAUCCAGUUUAACAAAAUGCCACCUUCAUCCAUUUUCUUCAACAAAUCAACUAUUUCAUUUGCUUUAUACAAUGCAAUUAGCUAUUUGCCUCUUUCUUUUUAUCUUGUUAUUGCUUCUUUUUGUUUCUUUAUGCUUUUGUGAGAUACUAUAUUCUUGACUCAUAGUUUUUUUUUUUUUUUUUGAAAUAAGAAUGAACUUUCAAUAAUACGGGAAAUCAGAACAAGCUACAUCCAUGAUGUUUGGAGGGACAUACCCCAUCGAAAUUGAAUCAGAAGAAGAACAAGCUAUAUUAGCAAGAAAAUGAGCAAGGUUAUUCUGUGUUCUAAAAACAUGAGAAACAGAAAAAAAACUCAAAACCAGAAACUAAGCUACAGCAAUCAUCAAUGAUAAGUUGGAGAUCUGGGGAAAGCUGUCCAGCCCGAAAACCACGCGCAACAACAAGGGAAUCUGUCUCAGCCAGAACUCUGGUAAAACCAUGAUGCACCAUGAGUGUGAAUGCCCACCUCAAAGCCAAGGCUUCAGCCAUAGAAAUACUUACCUCAACCUUACAUCUACUGCAAGCAGCCAUAACCACCAAACCAGUAUGAUCCCUAAGGACACACCCCAUACCGAGCCACCCUUCCUUGAUGCUGGCAUCAACAUUUAAUUUGAGUUUCCCUACAUCUGGAGGCUGCCAUCUUCUCAACUCUUUGGGUUUCUUCUGCCUUAUGUGCCCCUCAUUCCUUGAAAUGAACUCUCUAUCAAAAAGAGAAGCAACCUGAAAAGCUCUUACAGGAUCAGCAACCUUUCCUGAAAAACAUAAGUCAUUCCGAGCCUUCCAAAUGGACCAUAACACAUGACAAAUCAAGGACAAGUGGUCACAAUCAUUCAACCCCAACAGAUUUUGAAACCAAGAAACCACCUCAGCCGAAUUGAGAACACAGUGGGAUAAACCCGACCCAAACCAUACAGCCCUGGAAAAUUCACACUCAAGAAACAAAUGAUGCAAUGACUCAGAAGCACCACAACAAAGGGGACAAACAAUAUCCAGAGCAAUACCUUUUUUCACAAGAUUUUCCCUAGUAGGCAAAAUCCUAUUCAUCAAUUUCCAGAGAAAAAUUCUGAUUUUAUGAGGAACAUCAACCUUCCACAAAUCAUUCCAAGUUGAACAAGGAAGAAAAGAACUAGAAGCACCAGGGCCAGAACUUGAACAUGAACUGAGCAUUUGAUAGGCAGAUUUAACAGUGUAAUUCCCAUCAUUGGACCAAUGCCAAGCAAACUUGUCUUCAGGGAGCCUAAUCGAAAGAGGAAUUGAUAGAAUCUUAUCAGCCUCAAAACCCAUAAAGGAGGACUUAAUUAAGUCCUCAUUCCACCUUUUCUGCUCAAAAUCGAUAAGCAUACUGACCUUAGCAUCCUUAGGCAGAUCAAUUGCAGGACUCCAGACCUUAAACCCUGACUGAUUAGGCAACCAACCAUCCUGGAAAACUCUGACAGAUUUACCAUUCCCAAUAGUCCACCUAGAGCCUUUAGAAAUCACAUGCCUCGCAGCUAGAAUACUCCUCCAAGAAAAACUAGGAAGAUACCCCAACUUAGCAUCCAUAAAAGAAGUCCUUGGGUGGUAUCUACUCUUAAAAAUCUGAGCAACCAAAGAAUCAGCCCUGUUAAUCAGCCUCCAACAUUGCUUACCGAGUAUUGCAUCAUUAAAUUUUCUAAGGCACCUAAACCCCAAACCUCCAACAGCCUUUGAUCUCUUAAGCCUUUCCCAACUCAUCCAAUGAAUUCCUUUAUCCUUAGAAUUAUUUCCCCACCAAAACCUAGCCAUCAUACUCUCCAUAGCUGAAACACACCCUUCAGGAAGCUUAAAACAGCUCAUCACAUAGGUGGGAAUCGCUUGCGCAACAGACUUCAAUAAAACCUCCUUGCCCGCACUUGAUAAAUGCCUCUCCUUCCACCCCUUUAACCUCUUCCAUAUCCUAUCCUAGACUAGAGAGAACACCACUUUCUUUG